AGCAGCGUGGCUCAAUGGAAGGAGCACGGGCUUGGGAGUCAGAGGAUGAGGCUUCCAAUACCUCCUCUGCCA
rnacentral:tRNA from 1 species